AACCAUAGAAACCUGCGGAGUACCUGCGGAGGGAUCAUUAUAAAAUUUUUUACAAUUAUUGUAUUCAAAACCCAUACUCUUAAAAUCAAAAAAAAAUUUUUUAUAUAAAAAUUUUUUUAAAUAAAAAAUAAUAAAAAAAGACAACUUUUAACAACGGAUCU
rnacentral:misc_RNA from 1 species